AUGCCAUCAAGCACUCCCAGCGUUACUAGUCUUGCAACUUCUACCAAGCUAGUUACCCGUGCCAUGCAGGAACCACAAGUGUCUUCUCAGCCUGAGCGUCCCAACACAUUAUCUUCUCUAGUAGGGCAAAAGAGUACACCAGCAUCCAGCUAUCCUCAGACAGCAACGGCAUGUUCUACACCUGUCCUUAAUUGUGAAACAAUAGAAAAUAAGAUAAGAAAGGAUAUCCAACGUUCCUGGAGAAGCAUAAUGAAACUGCAAAGAGAAGGAUGUCGGCAAGCUAGGAGAAAUCCCAGUGUCAGACUUCCUCGAUAUAGCAGAGAUGUUCCACUGGCGUUUAAGUAAAGAGGAAAUUAACCAAAUAACAACAAAAUAUGACUUCAAGAAGAAUGGAAAAUUUGCAUACCGUGACUUCCUUCAGAGUUGUAUCUUGUUAAAACCACAGAAAAGCUCACUGCUACAAAGG
rnacentral:lncRNA from 1 species